rnacentral:antisense_RNA from 1 species
GUGGGAGGGGGCUUGCUCCCGAAGGCGUCGUGUCAGUCAUAGCUACCGUACUGACACACCGCAUUCGGGAGCAAGCCCCCUCCCAC